CCGUUGAUAUCGAGGGGAAUACCAAAUGCGAAGGCAGUUCACUGGGGCUUUCUUGACGCUGAGGCACGAAAGCGUGGGUAGCGAAUCGGAUUAGAUACCCGAGUAGUCCACGCCCUAAACGCUGUCUGUUGGCUAUUAGGAGAAUCGACCCUCUUAGUGGCGAAGCUAACGCGUUAAACAGACCGCCUGGGUAGUACGAUCGCAAGAUUAAAACUCAAAGGAAUAGACGGGGGCUCGCACAAGCGGUGGAUCAUGAGGCUUAAUUCGUCGAUAAGCGAAAAACCUUACCGAGGCUAGAAACUAUACUGCACGCUCUCCGAAAAGAGAGAAUCCUUCGAGGGUGUAUAGCAGGUGAUGCAUGGCCGUCGUCAGUUCGUGGCUUGAGCUGUUCCCUUAAGUGGGGAAACGAACGCAACCCUCGUUGCCUGUUACAAGUGUCAGGCGAGACUGCUCCCUCACGGGAGAGGAAGGUGAGGAUGACGCCAGGUCAGCAUGUCCCUUGAUGCCUCGGGCUGCACUCGUGAUACAAUGGGUGGUACAACGGGACGCAAUACCGUAAGGUGGAGCAAAUCCUAAUAAAACCAUCCCCAGUUCGGAUUGUGGGCUGCAACUCGCCCACAUGAAGUCGGAAUCGCUAGUAAUCGUGAAUCAGCACGUCACGGUGAAUACGUUCCCGAGCCUUGUACUCACCGCCCGUCAAGUCAGGGGAGUCGGAAGUGCCCGAAGUGCCAGUUUAUCUGGUCCUACGGUAAAUUCGAUAACAAGGACUAAGUCGUAACAAGGUAACC
rnacentral:rRNA from 1 species